rnacentral:rRNA from 1 species
UACGUAGGGCGCAAGCGUUGUCCGGAAUUAUUGGGCGUAAAGAGCUCGUAGGCGGCUUGUCACGUCGGUUGUGAAAGCCCGGGGCUUAACCCCGGGUCUGCAGUCGAUACGGGCUAGCUAGAGUGCGGUAGGGGAGAUCGGAAUUCCUGGUGUAGCGGUGAAAUGCGCAGAUAUCAGGAGGAACACCGGUGGCGAAGGCGGAUCUCUGGGCCAUUACUGACGCUGAGGAGCGAAAGCGUGGGGAGCGAACAGG